UUACGAUAUAACGUUUUACAACAGACAAUUUCAACCAUAACAUACUAGUGGCGCCAUUUUUUGUGAAACGGCGGAAACUUAUUUAUACUCCUAAUACGUUUCCGGGGUCGAGCAACCUCGAAGGGCUCCCAUAAAUUACUUUUUGUGUCAACGAGUUUAUUCGUCCAUUUGACACUUCUUUAUAAUUUAUGGUGCUUUGAUUUGCGAUAUAUAAUUUAUGAUAUUUUGAUUUUUGUGACAUUAAUUUAUGAUAUUUUGAUUUUUGUGACAUUUCUCACUCGUCUCAGUGGCGUAUUUUACGUCUCACUGUAUUCCCGGAAAUGGAAGUUAGGAGAUUAAGUGGGUCAUCGUUGCUCGGCCUCCGUCGUAUAGUGUAUCCGUCGUCAAAAGAAAAGAAUCGUUACAUCGCUGGACGUAACAGAACGUACGAUCAUGGUUUUAUUAUUUUUUAAAAUCUGAGUAACUUUUCAACAUUUCUGAGUAUUUAUGAUUAUAAUUUUUCAGAAAACCAAAAAUGUCGAUGACAAUAAUAUCAAAAACAAAAUUGAAGAAAGAUUAAAAAAUUUAAAACUCAAAAAUACUGAUGUUGCACAUGUAAGUGACAUAUAUUAAUUUUAAAUUUUUUAAAUUACUACAACAGUCUAUUAAAAAAACCUUAAAAAAAUCUAUCUUACAAAAUUUGUAAAAUCGUUUAUUAAUGUUGCUGUAGAAAUGUUUUCUUUAAUUUGCCCGUAAUAAUUUCACGAUUUCUUAUGCAUGAAUUUUUAAAAAAUAAACACUAAUUAAUGUGUAUUUAUUAACAGAAAAAUAAUGAAAAUGACUUAUUAACACAGCGAAAAAACGACUUACCUAAACCGUCUGCAAAGAAAAUGAUUCCUGCAAUGAAUGCGGGAUCAAAAACUUUUAUAUCACAAGAAACAAGAAUUCACGAUUUAAAGAAGGAAAAUCUUUGUUUGAAAGAAACCAUAAAAGAAAAAGAAAAGUACAUAAUCGAAAUAUCUAACCUAAAUUGCAAUUUGCAGAAAAAGUUCUCGACGAAUUUGAGGAACUAAAAGCUGUGGUCGUUGAUUUGUGUAAAAGAAAGGGGGCAAAAGAUCCCAGGUAAACUUCCCGUUGAUUACUGAAGCAUGGACAAAAAUCUGAUAUAUCUUGGACACGAUGUUUGGAUAACGAACUGUCAAUAUGACAGUAUCGUUAAUGUAAGUAAAACGUGUUCAAUUUUUGUCAAAAAUUUGGCGAUAACUGUUCGGCACUCCUACUUUAAAAUCAAGCUCAGUCACAAGAACAGUCUCUAACAAGACCAAAAACAAAUAAUGACAAACCCCGACCAAAAUUGGAUCCAGCCAAAAUGUUGGCUAUAAGAGACAUUGGCUAUCCACGGAACGUGGUUAUAAUGAAGCCGCAAUCGAUUUCGAAGUGCAGCAGGUUGGCACGUAUAUAAGCCAAAAAAUAUCAGAAUUGAACAUUUCCACCUAUUGAGGUGGAAUAGCUAUUUCAGCUUAAUCAAAUGUGACUCUUAUAAAAAAUAAUUAUCUUUUUAUUUAAUUGUUGUAUUAUAUAUUUUUUAUUUAGCUGAUUCGGUAAAAAUAAUGGAUGUGUUGGUUUAAGAAUAAAUGUAGCAUAGUCGUAAAUAAAGAAAAAGAAAUUAAAAAAGAAAUAUAAUUUUGUAGAGCUAUUAUUGGCUAUAACAAAUUAAUAUACUUAUAGUAAUUUAAUAUAUAAAAUUUUAAAUCUGUGUAUACUAUAUAUUUACAAAGGUUGGUAGCAACAACCACGCUACAGUAGAAGGUGCAGAGUUUUGUAAUGCAGAAGUUAACGACGUCGAAUCUGCUGCAGAAAAAGAUGUACGUAAU